rnacentral:rRNA from 1 species
UGAGUAACAUGUGGGAAUCUACCUGAAGGUUCGGAAUAACUGCGGGAAACUGUAGCUAAUACCGGAUGUGUCUGCAAAGAGAAAGAUUUAUCGCCUUCAGAUGAGCCCGCACUAGAUUAGCUAGUUGGUGAGGUAAUUGCUCCACCAAGGCUACGAUCUAUAGCUGAUUUGAGAGGAUGAUCAGCCACACUGGGACUGAGACACGGCCCAGACUCCUACGGGAGGCAGCAGUAGGGAAUAUUGGACAAUGGGGGAAACCCUGAUCCAGCAAUGCCGCGUGAGUGAAGAAGGCCUUCGGGUUGUAAAACUCUUUCAUCAAUGAUGAUAAUGACAUUAGUUGAAGAAGAAGCUCCGGCUAACUUCGUGCCAGCAGCCGCGGUAAUACGAAGGGGGCUAGCGUUGUUCGGAAUCACUGGGCGUAAAGCGUAUGUAGGCGGAUCAAAAAGUUAGAUGUGAAAUCCCUGGGCUCAACCCAGGAACUGCAUUUAAAACUAGUGAUCUAGAAUUUGGUAGGGGUUAGUAGAAUUUCCAGUGUAGAGGUGAAAUUCGUAGAUAUUGGAAAGAAUACCAGUGGCGAAGGCGACUAACUGGGCCAUUUUUGACGCUGAGAUACGAAAGCGUGGGUAGCAAACAGGAUUAGAUACCCUGGUAGUCCACGCAGUAAACGAUGAGUGCUAGUCGCUGGGACAAUAGUUUCAGUGUCGAAGCUAACGCAUUAAGCACUCCGCCUGGGAAGUACGGUCGCAAGAUUAAAACUCAAAUAAAUUGACGGGGGCCCGCACAAGCGGUGGAGCAUGUGGUUUAAUUCGAAGCAACGCGAAGAACCUUACCAGACCUUGACAUGGUGUGUUUGAAUUACAGAAUCGUAAUUCUUCAGUUCGGCUGGCACACACACAGGUGCUGCAUGGCUGUCGUCAGCUCGUGUCGUGAGAUGUUGGGUUAAGUCCCGCAACGAGCGCAACCCUCAUUUUUAGUUGCCAUCAGGUUAUGCUGGGCACUCUAAAAAAACUGCCGGUGAUAAGCUGGAGGAAGGCGGGGAUGACGUCAAGUCCUCAUGGCCCUUACGGUCUGGGCUACACACGUGCUACAAUGGUGGUGACAGUGGGCAGCAAUACUGCAAAGUAAAGCUAAUCCCAAAAAACCAUCUCAGUUCGGAUUGGACUCUGCAACUCGAGUCCAUGAAGUUGGAAUCGCUAGUAAUCGUAGAUCAGCGUGCUACGGUGAAUACGUUCUCGGGCCUUGUACACACCGCCCGUCACGCCAUGGGAGUUGGUUUUACCUUAAG